GAGAGUUAAACAGUACGUGAAAUUGUUGAAAGGGAAACGAUUGAAGUCAGUCAUACUAACGGGAAAUCAACCUCUUGAGUUUGGUCUCGUGGGUUUCGAAGAGUUUAAAAGCCUUCGGAUUUUCGAGAUUGGGCUCUUCUGGUGUACUUUCUCGUACGGUUAGUCAACAUCGGUUUUGAAUGUCAUAAAAUGACUGAAGGAAUGUGGCUUCGAUCUCGUAUUGAAGUGUUAUAACCUUUGGUAGAUGUGAUGUUUGAGACCGAGGAUUGCAACGGAUACCCUUCUGGGCUAUUCGUCUGAUCUCUGAAACGUUGCCUUGAUGUCGAAAGCUUGCUUAUGAUGUUUAGGGUAUUACGGUCAAAAGGUUAGAACGGAUUAAAUUCGUUAAGGAUGUUGACGUAAUGACUUUAAACGA
rnacentral:rRNA from 1 species